UAAAAUGAAUAUAUUUAAUUUCGACUUAAAUUAUGAUAAUUAUUAUUAUCCAUUUUAA
rnacentral:tRNA from 1 species